GAUGAACGCUGGCGGCGUGCAUAACACAUGCAAGUCGAACGGUGAAGCUCAGUCUACUUCGGCGGAAAGACACGCAGCGGGGUAGGGGCGAACGGGGGAGUAACGCGUGAGUAACCGGCCUUACACAAGGAGCUAGCCUUUGUAAACGAAGAAUAAUACCCUAUCAAACUAUAGAUGCACAUGCUAUAAUGGUCAAGGUGUUAGCGGUUGAGGAUGGACUUGCGUCUGAGUAGCUUGUUGGUGAGGUAGUGGCUCACCAAGGCAUCGACGGGGAGCCGGCCUCGGAGGGUGACCGGCCACAUUGGGAUUGAGAUACGGCCCAGACUCCUACGGGAGGCAGCAGUGGGGAAUAUUGCACAAUGGGCGGAAGCCUGAUGCAGCAACGCCGCGUGCGGGAUGACGGCCAUCGGGUUGUAAACCGCUUUCGCCUGUGACGAAGCGUGAGUGACGGUAAUGGGUAAAGAAGCACCGGCUAACUACGUG
rnacentral:rRNA from 1 species